rnacentral:rRNA from 1 species
AUUGAACGCUGGCGGCAGGCCUAACACAUGCAAGUCGAACGGUAGCACAGAGAGCUUGCUCUCGGGUGACGAGUGGCGGACGGGUGAGUAACGUCUGGGAAACUGCCCGAUGGAGGGGGAUAACUACUGGAAACGGUAGCUAAUACCGCAUAACGUCGCAAGACCAAAGUGGGGGACCUUCCGGCCUCACACCAUCGGAUGUGCCCAGAUGGGAUUAGCUAGGAGGUGGGGUAAUGGCUCACCUAGGCGACGAUCCCUAGCUGGUCUGAGAGGAUGACCAGCCACACUGGAACUGAGACACGGUCCAGACUCCUACGGGAGGCAGCAGUGGGGAAUAUUGCACAAUGGGCGCAAGCCUGAUGCAGCCAUGCCGCGUGUAUGAAGAAGGCCUUCGGGUUGUAAAGUACUUUCAGCGGGGAGGAAGGCGGUGAAGUUAAUAGCUUCACCGAUUGACGUUACCCGCAGAAGAAGCACCGGCUAACUCCGUGCCAGCAGCCGCCGUAA